UACGUAGGGUGCGAGCGUUGUCCGGAAUUAUUGGGCGUAAAGAGCUCGUAGGCGGUGUGUCGCGUCGGUCGUGAAAACUUGGGGCUUAACUCUGAGCUUGCGGUCGAUACGGGCAUCACUGGAGUUCGGCAGGGGAGACUGGAAUUCCUGGUGUAGCGGUGAAAUGCGCAGAUAUCAGGAGGAACACCGGUGGGCGAAGGCGGGUCUCUGGGCCGAAUACUGACGC
rnacentral:rRNA from 1 species